CUGGGCGUAAGCGCUCGUAGGCGGAUUGAUAAGUCAGAGGUGAAAGCCCAGGGCUCAACCUUGGAAUUGCCUUUGAAACUGUCAGUCUUGAGUUCAGGAGAGGUGAGCGGAAUUCCGAGUGUAGAGGUGAAAUUCGUAGAUAUUCGGAGGAACACCAGAGGCGAAGGCGGCUCACUGGACUGAUACUGACGCUGAGGAGCGAAAGCGUGGGGAGCAAACAGGAUUAGAUACCCUGGUAGUCCACGCCGUAAACUAUGAGAGCUAGUUGUCAGCAAGCAUGCUUGUUGGUGACGCAGCUAACGCAUUAAGCUCUCCGCCUGGGGAGUACGGCCGCAAGGUUAAAACUCA
rnacentral:rRNA from 1 species